UAACUUGCACCUUGCAGGGAAAAUACAAUGUUGCAAAAAUGGCUUUUCUAAGGGGAGGCUCAUCCAUUGCACUUUGGGUGUGUUGCUGAUCCCUGUGAUUUCCCUAAAUGUGGGGAACUCAGCUGCAUAAUUUAUGUUAAUGAAGGGAUUACAUUUAUGAUUUUCCUGU
rnacentral:snRNA from 1 species